rnacentral:rRNA from 1 species
AACGAACGCUGGCGGCAGGCUUAACACAUGCAAGUCGAACGCAUCGCAAGAUGAGUGGCAGACGGGUGAGUAACGCGUGGGAACAUACCUCUUUCUACGGAAUAGCUCUGGGAAACUGGAAUUAAUACCGUAUACGCCCUACGGGGGAAAGAUUUAUCGGGGAAGGAUUGGCCCGCGUUGGAUUAGCUAGUUGGUGGGGUAAAGGCCUACCAAGGCGACGAUCCAUAGCUGGUCUGAGAGGAUGAUCAGCCACAUUGGGACUGAGACACGGCCCAAACUCCUACGGGAGGCAGCAGUGGGGAAUAUUGGACAAUGGGCGCAAGCCUGAUCCAGCCAUGCCGCGUGAGUGAUGAAGGCCUUAGGGUUGUAAAGCUCUUUCACCGAUGAAGAUAAUGACGGUAGUCGGAGAAGAAGCCCCGGCUAACUUCGUGCCAGCCGCCGCAGUAAAAC